AACUUAAGGAUUUAUAUUUGUGGAAGGAACAGAGAGAUAGGGUGGUGGCUGUGAAAAAUGCCAUUUGGCGUUGUAGAAGCAAAAAUAGCCUUAUGAUUAAGAGCCCUAGUGCCGGUUGCAUGGCCUUGGGCAAUGUACCUCUCCAUGCAGCAGCGUCCUCCUGUAUAAAGUGCAGAGAAUGAUCACACCCAUCUCAUAGAUUGUUGUGAGGAAUAAGGUGAAUAACAUAAGUCAUGCGCACUUAGUACAAUGCCCGGCACUUAGCAAGCACUUAGCAAUAUAUGUUACAUGAUACACAUUCUUGUCACAAUCCUCGCUACAUAUCUACACUUCUCUUUUGACAUUUCAUUCCCGUUAAAUUCUUAGUGUAAAGUCUUCUUUUCAUGCCUCUUAUUGUGUGCUCUUCUUUCUAAAAUAGAGUCUAGCCUUAUAAAAAAUAUAUAUGACAAGCCAACUGGAAGAAGGUCACAGUAAAUGAAAGCAGUGUAGCACAUUGCAAACCCAGACAGAAGCCUAGUUAAGACAAUUAUGCAAAGUUGGCUUACCUGUUUUUUCCCUUGGAGAAACAUCAGAAUCUUGACUCAUAAAAUCUGGUAUGACCCAUUUGUCUAAGUACCUACACAUGAGAAUACCCAGAUGUGUUCUUUAAUCACAAAACCAGAGAGGCUCACAGAACUAGAUAGAAUCCACAUUCUAUGAGGAAAGCCACAUUGUAUAAAACUGGUAAUAAAAGAGACUAGUCUCUAGCCACUCCUCACUGAGGAAUUGGUGAUGACUUCUAAACAAUGAAGUUGAAGAAACAGUUCUCAAACUUUGGUAACAGAGAAACUUUUUACUUUCUGUUUAGGUAUUGGCUAGAAGCACAGUCUCAUAGUUAGAAGGGUAGUCUUUGGCAUCACAAUACCUGGGGUUCUAAACCCAGCAUCAAUAUUUGCUAGAUGUGUGACUUCGGUGUCAUUAACAUCUCUGUGCCUCCAUUCUGUUAUCAGUACAUUGGAUUAAUAGUCGUACCUGUCCCAGAAGAUGAUUGACAAGAAUGACACCCACAUCCUCUGGAGAAGAUGGUUAGCUUUUAAUUUAGGCCUUUGAGGAGAUUGUUCCAGGAAGCUCCUCUCUUCGGUCCCACCUACUCAGCCCUCAGGGAGGAAGGAGGGCUUUGUCGCUGACAGGUCAUGAGCACAGAUUCUGCCCCAAGACGUCUGCUUUCAGAACGCAAGUUCUGUUCACAAGGAACAAGGGGUAUCCAUACAAGUCCAAGUCCAUGAAGAAGGCCAUUCUGCAACCCAGAAGCCAGAGACUGGAGUUCCCACAUCCACUUGUUCUGAUUCAUUUCAUGAAGUUUAGAUGACUAAAAGAGGUUUAAAACUUAAACAUGUGGUAUAACCUCAGCAAUUCAUUUGUUCAAUUUUUUUUUUUAAAAAAAAGAAUGAAAAAGUUAAAUUUUGUAACAAUAGUAUGAACUCAAAAACAUAUCCUGGGAGCAAAAAGAGAAUUGUGGCUUUGACAUUCUGCCUUUUAUCUUCAUGGGAAAAGCAAAAGCUAAGCUGAAAAAAAUGUUUCAUUUUGGUAAACUCAUAAGCUAUUGCUUCCCCACAACUUUAAGUGAUUUUUGCUGAUCUGUGCCCUGACCACAUAGAAAUGUUCAAACAAAAACUCAAGGUCAUUUUCACUUAUCUUUCUUAUUCUUUUCUACAAAGAAACGUCAAUAUAUUCUAGGUUUACAUAUGAUUUUAUAAGAUUUUUUCCCUUACAAAUCUCUUUUCCUUUAGCUGCAAACCACCUGAUUCUGAUUUUCCUUUGCCAUAAAUCUGAAUUUUUACAUUUUAUCUGGUAUUCACAACAGAUGGGCUAUGAACCAAAAAAUAAUAAUAAUAAUAAUACAAUGGGAGGAAAGAGAAGAUAAAAUUAUUGGGCAAAAACUAUACAGAAGAUGAAACAACUCUCAGAGAGGAUACAAUGGGGACACAAGGGAUAGCCUAACAACAAUCAAUCUGACAACUAACUUUAAAUGGGGAAAAAAACAUUUUCUUAAUAAAACUAUAAAGCCAGCUGUGUGCACCUUUAGUGUUGUUGCAAUCCGGAAAGAGAGAGGAUACCUUGGCAUUACGUCAACCAUAUUUUCAUGUCCUGCUAUCAAGGAUUUCUUCCCACCGCUGUCUCUAUGCUCUCCAGCCAUAAAAGAGGGCAACAUCUUUAAUGAUGUGAAAUCCACCAACUCCCGAAUUCCCGACCCCCCACUGCAUGUUUCCCUGAGACAAAACUCAUCAGACAUUUUUUACCAGCCUCGCAAGAAGAUGUUAUGGAAACCAAUGUCCUUUCAAACCUGAGUCUAGUCCCUCCAAACAUUCUAGGGGAAGGACAGGCGACAGCAGGAUCAACUGAGUGAAGAUGUGCCCACAAGUUUUAAAGUUAGGCUAAAAUUUAUGAUUAAAGGCAGAAGAGCAAUUUAUACUAUGAUACAAAACAUUUAAAUAGGAAAAUUUCAACUCAUCGUAUGUACUAUGCCUACAUGACGCCAAAUAGUAUACUUGAAAAUCAUACAUUAAAACAGCUGUCUUCAUGUUAGUGACUUGCUGUCCAAUUUAUAUAGGGUCCCACUCCUGCAAAACUUUUCCGCUGUGUACUAUUGUCUUAUUUUUUAAUCCCUUAGCAGAAAUUCAAAAGCUGCCUUUAUCUGAUAGAAGAAUUUCAUCUCUCAUGAGAAAAGCCACUGAUAAAACUUGACUUUCAAUCAAAACCAAAACUUCAUUUCCAAAAACCUCUAGGACACAGCUUUCAGCAAACUUAGAAAAACAUUCAAAUGGGAGUUUUCGUUGUUGUUGUCAAUUUUUAGAAGGAUUUAUCCCUUUUGUAUUAAAAGCUCAUUUGGUCACAAGUAACAGAAAUUCAUUGAGUCUCGCUUUGGGGUAGGGAAUGAACAAGAAUACACUGUGGAACUCAAGGGCAGGAAAUAGCUCAGGAAGAAUGGGAUCCAAGAACGGGACAGCCAGUCUCUGAAUCUCUUGAUCUCUCUGCAUAAGGUUCUGUCAUCUCUGCAUCUCUGUGCAGUCAGCUUCAGUCUUUUCUCUGUAGGACAGUUUUCUCUGCCACUCUAGGCACACAUGACAAAAACUGGCCAUUCCCACAACUGGAAAGAUUGCAGGUCCUCUAUUGAAAUGAUUAGACAGACUAUCUUUCUUGUCUCUGAAUUCCCAGGUGGAAUUCAACUGCCAAUCAGCUUUCAGCAGAGGGGCAAGUUUUCAUAGUAGAACAAUCUGGAACUACUCAGGCAAAUUAUAUACAUGCAUUUCCUGUGACCUAGAGAUUCUACUCCAAGGAAAAUUUCACAAAGGUUCACAAAAGGACAUGAAUAAAGAUGUUCUUUGUACACUAUUGUGGUGGCAAGAAGUUGGGUUUCCCUUACUGGGAGAGGAGAUUAGGUAAAAUUCAGUGGAUGUACAUUACAGAGUAUUAUGCAGCAGUUAAAAGCAAAGGGCUACACGUAGCCACGUGAAAGAUCUUUCUUGAGGGCACAGCUUUGUCACACACCAUGUAAGCCUCAUAUGGACAGAACAGAAAUCCCAGGGAGAAGGGAUGCAGCAGGAUGCUGGACUUACAGUUGCCCUAUACCACAGUAUUCCAUGGAGAGAUUUUCCUGGGCAAGAGUGCAGCCAGAUGUAUCAUGGGCUGUGCUUCAAGAGGGAGAUUCACCCAUUCUUAUAGGGCUUAUGAGUUGCCUUGUAUACAAUGCCAAAACAGGCUGUGUGUGGGUGUUGACUAUCAGGGGAGUUGCAUGCCCAUGCUGAUAGCACGUGGAGAAAUCUUUGGGAAAUUGAUUUCUCAUCCCACUAGGAAAGGGGAGGAGCCCCCAAUUCUAGCCAGCUUUUUCCAGUUAACUGGAGGAGAACACUGGAUCCUGCAGUUAUCAUCCUAUUGGUCACUGAAAUUUUAAAUGCACAGUGCUUAGUGAAAAAAGGUAGGAAAUAGAAAAAAUGUUUAUAAAACAAGAAAGAGUACCAUUUGUUUAAAUGGGAGUGGGACAUGUGCAAAUGAAAUGAAGUGAAUGAUGAACAAAUAGAACAAAAGAGGAUCGAGAGUUUGGAGGAUGGUGGCGUAAGAGAAUCCUGAACUCGCCUCCUCUCAUGGACACAACGAACCUUCAACCACAUGUAGAACAGUUCCCUCUGAGAGAGAUCUGGAAACUGGAUAAAAAGGGCCUCUACAACAAGGGACAACACAGAGAUGGGUGGAAGAGGCAGAGAUAAAGCCCUGCUGAAGAAAAAACCACAUCCUAGCCGUGGUGCUUCAUGGUUAGGAACAAUCUCAAAGGUACGGAGCUUUCCCCAGAGGAGUAGGGGAUUCGAGAUCUGCAUUAGGCACCUCAGCCCUUAGAUCCAGCACAAGAGAGACAAGAUCCCAAAAUACCUGGCUUUGAAAACCAAUGGGGAAUACACCCAGGGAAACUAUAGAACUUCAUGGAAAGGAAAACCUGCUCUUAAAGAGCCCAUGCACAGACUCACUCAACUUGGAAACCAGCACAAAAACACAAGAUAGAAAAGUGCAUAGCCCAUUGGUAAAAGAAACCCAUUUACUAAGCUGAGAGUGCAUCCUAGAGAGGCAGGAGGAGGCAAGGCUCAUCCUGCAGGGACUGAGACACUGUCAGCUGCCAUUAUUGUGACCUAGUCAGCUGUGCUAACACAGAUGCUGGCAGGCACCAUUGGAAUCCUUUCUCUGGUCUGUUAGUGCUAUGGGUCUGUCCUGCCCACUAGAGUACCCAAUGCAGUCAAGAGCAACCUGGCAGUGCAGGCAGCCUGCCCCAAUGACCUCCCCCACCCACCAGCAAGCCCCCAGCAGACUUCACCACAGGGCUUUACAAACAGCCACACAGGGCAUCUGCCCUGCCUACCAAUGCCUGACAUGGUUGCACACAGCCAGCCCAGGGCCUGCCCCACCCAUCAGUGCACCUGAGGCAGCCGUGCACCACAGGGCCAGGUAGCCAGCUUGUACCAGAGGCCUGCUCCAUGCAAAGCUAACUGGCAACAGCUGUGUGCUCUGCAGCUAGCCUCACUGGAAGCCUGCCCCACCCACCAACACAUCCAAGGCAGCUGAGUACUGCAGGGCCAUGCAGCCAGCCACACUGGGGGCCUGCAGCAGUUGUGUACCCCCAGUCUUAGCAACCAACCACUCUGGGGACUUGACUCACUUACCAGCAAAACUGCAGUAGUUGUGCACUACCAGACCUCACAGCCAGUUAUGCAAGGGGCUUGCCCUACCCAAUAACAUACCCAUACAGCCACACAUGGCCAAGCAUCACAACCAACCAGCCCAGGGGCCAGUCCAGCCUACCUGUGCACCCGCAGCAAGAGCAACCCCACCACAACAAAAGUAUAUAUGUAGCCCACACAGGGAACACCCCUGGAGCAUUUGUCAAGGAUGAUGAGAAGGAAGCACACUGUUGGGCCCCAGAAGGCAUCUCUUAUAUAAGGCCAUGUUUCCAAAAUUGGAAGACAUAGCUAAUCUUCAACAAAGAAUUAGAAAAUAUAAAGAAGAACCAAUCAGAGCUAAGAAUACAAUAAUGGAAAUGAAAAAUUAACUAAAGGAAAUCAACAGCAGAGUAGAGGACACAGAAGAAGGGAUCAGUGAUCUGGAAGACAAAGUAGAGGAAAUCACUCAAGUUGAACAAAAAAAAGAAAAAAGAAUUAAAAAGAAUGAGGACAUUCUAAGGGACCUCUGAGACAACAGCAAGCAUACUAACAUUCGCAUUGUAGAUGUCCCAAACAGAGAAGAGAGAAACAAAGGGGCAGAGAACUUAUUUGAAGAAAUAACAGCUGAAAACAUGCCUAACCUGGGGAAGGAAACAGACAGCCAGGUACAGCAAGAAAAGAGAGUUAUCAAACAAGAUGAACCCAAAGAGGCCUACACUAAG